UACGUAGGGCGCAAGCGUUGUCCGGAUUUAUUGGGCGUAAAGAGCGUGUAGGCGGCUUGGUAGGUCUGCUGUGAAAACUCGGGGCUCAACCCCGAGACGUCGGUGGAAACCACCUGGCUAGAGUCCGGAAGAGGAGAGUAGGAAUUCCUGGUGUAGCGGUGAAAUGCGCAGAUAUCGGGAGGAAUACCGGUGGCGAAGGCGGCAUCCUGGACCGACAUUGACGCUGAGGAGCGAAAGCUAGGGGAGCAAACGGG
rnacentral:rRNA from 1 species